rnacentral:sRNA from 1 species
GUUAACCAAGUUGCCAUUUCUAAGAAGUUUGAAUCUGGGAUAUGGAAUGUUGGCUUGCUUGCAUUUCUCUUCUUUUCAUUUCUUUUCUUUACAUUUCAUUAGCAGUCUUAUGAAGCAGUUUCAGAUGCUUCAUAAGAGUUUGUGUCAUGGUGUUUUUGUAACAGGUUUGCCUGCCUUAGUGGUGUCAGUUGUUCUAGCGAGCAGAAACAACAAUGAAGUCUAUGGAAAAGAAAGUUAUGGGAAAGAAAAAGGUGAUGAAUUCUGUUGGAUUCAAGAUCCAGUCAUAUUUUAUGUGACCUGUGCUGGGUAUUUUGGAGUCAUGUUUUUUCUGAACAUUGCCAUGUUCAUUGUGGUAAUGGUGCAGAUCUGUGGGAGGAAUGGCAAGAGAAGCAACCGGACCCUGAGAGAAGAAGUGUUAAGGAACCUGCGCAGUGUGGUUAGCUUGACCUUUCUGUUGGGCAUGACAUGGGGUUUUGCAUUCUUUGCCUGGGGACCCUUAAAUAUCCCCUUCAUGUACCUCUUCUCCAUCUUCAAUUCAUUACAAGGCUUAUUUAUAUUCAUCUUCCACUGUGCUAUGAAGGAGAAUGUUCAGAAACAGUGGCGGCGGCAUCUCUGCUGUGGUAGAUUUCGGUUAGCAGAUAACUCAGAUUGGAGUAAGACAGCUACCAAUAUCAUCAAGAAAAGUUCUGAUAAUCUAGGAAAAUCUUUGUCUUCAAGCUCCAUUGGUUCCAACUCAACCUAUCUUACAUCCAAAUCUAAAUCCAGCUCUACCACCUAUUUCAAAAGGAAUAGCCACACAGACAAUGCUUCCAUGGACAAGUCCUUGUCAAAACUGGCCCAUGCUGAUGGAGAUCAAACAUCAAUCAUCCCUGUCCAUCAGGUCAUUGAUAAGGUCAAGGGUUAUUGCAAUGCUCAUUCAGACAACUUCUAUAAAAACAUUAUCAUGUCAGACACCUUCAGCCACAGCACAAAGUUUUAAUGUCUUUAAGAAAAAGAAAUCAAUCUGCAGAAAUGUGAAGAUUUGCAAGCAGUGUAAACUGCAACUAGUGAUGUAAAUGUGCUAUUACCUAGGUAACUGCAUAUAUAUAAGGAAUGUAUUUUGUUAAGAAGGCUUUUGUGAAAUUCAGAAUUUUUCUUUUUAAUGUAUUUCUUCCAUGGAAGAGUUGUCAUCACUAAAACUUCAGUACUGAGAGUAACAUGACUCAGUAGCCACAGAAGCUAUGAUUUGUAAAAUAUAUAAUUGAAUC